rnacentral:lncRNA from 1 species
AGCAACGGUCUAUCCCAAAAAUGAUUUGCAUCAAAUCACAAAAGCAGGUCUGAGAAGGCAAAGUAUUGAUACCAUGAUUCAAUAUACCACAAAGCUUUGAACUUAAACUCAUAAAUCAUAAGAUGGGAGCAAAUAAUGCAUGGUUUAUUCAGAUACUUAACAAAUUAGACCAUAUUUGGUCGACAAUCAACUAACCCGAGUCAAGAUACGCUCAAAUUAUUAUUAUUAUUAUUAUUUCCUUAGCAUACUCAAAAAAAUAGCAAAUUCUAUCCAAGAGAUAACAUAAUCAUAUCAUGAUUGACCUGAGAAUCAACAAAAUCUUUCAUUAUUGAACAACAUAGUCUUUCAUAAUAACAUGUUACCAAAAUACAAUCAAUAUUUUUGACCAGUUUAGAUUGACUCAAUCCAUCAUACUUUCGCUGCGCAACUCUGAUCAAUAUUCUCCAAAAUUUCUUAAUGAUCCCAAAUUAUCAGCAUUUUUUUUUCUUUUUAAUAUCCAAACAAAAUUUUAUCCUUGCUUCCCAAGUACACUAGAUCAUGA